GAAAGAUGGUUCUGCUAUCACUCUUGGAUGGACCUGCGGUGCAUUAGCUAGUUGGUAAGGUAACGGCUUACCAAGGCAAUGAUGCAUAGCCGAGUUGAGAGACUGAUCGGCCACAUUGGGACUGAGACACGGCCCAAACUCCUACGGGAGGCAGCAGUAGGGAAUCUUCCACAAUGGACGAAAGUCUGAUGGAGCAACGCCGCGUGAGUGAAGAAGGGUUUCGGCUCGUAAAGCUCUGUUGGUAGUGAAGAAAGAUAGAGGUAGUAACUGGCCUUUAUUGACGGUAAUUACUUAGAAAGUCACGGCUAACUACGUGCCAGCAGCCGCGGUAAUACGUAGGUGGCAAGCGUUGUCCGGAUUUAUUGGGCGUAAAGCGAGUGCAGGCGGUUCAAUAAGUCUGAUGUGAAAGCCUUCGGCUCAACCGGAGAAUUGUAUCAGAAACUGUUGAACUUGAGUGCAGAAGAGGAGAGUGGAACUCCAUGUGUAGCGGUGGAAUGCGUAGAUAUAUGGAAGAACACCAGUGGCGAAGGCGGCUCUCUGGUCUGCAACUGACGCUGAGGCUCGAAAGCAUGGGUAGCGAACAGGAUUAGAUACCCUGGUAGUCCAUGCCGUAAACGAUGAGUGCUAAGUGUUGGGAGGUUUCCGCCUCUCA
rnacentral:rRNA from 1 species